AGGGUUUGAUCCUGGCUCAGGAUGAACGCUGGCGGCGUGCCUAACACAUGCAAGUCGAGCGAAGCGAUUUGGAGGAAGUUUUCGGAUGGAAUCCGAAUUGACUGAGCGGCGGACGGGUGAGUAACGCGUGGGUAACCUGCCUCAUACAGGGGGAUAACAGUUAGAAAUGACUGCUAAUACCGCAUAAGCGCACAGGAGCGCAUGCUUUUGUGUGAAAAACUCCGGUGGUAUGAGAUGGACCCGCGUCUGAUUAGGUAGUUGGUGGGGUAACGGCCUACCAAGCCGACGAUCAGUAGCCGACCUGAGAGGGUGACCGGCCACAUUGGGACUGAGACACGGCCCAA
rnacentral:rRNA from 1 species